CAAAGGUCCGAGCGCACGGGGGCGCCUGGGGGCCUGCACGACCCGGGCUCUUGGGAGGUGCAGCGUGCGAGCCUGCGCACCUCGUGCGGGAGGCCGAAUCCCCGAGGGUCGAGCGCGGCCCGGGUGGUGGGGGUUAUUAAUUACUCCGCUGGGCCUAAUGCCUCCAACCCCCAGCGGCGGCUGGCUUGGGUAUCCUGCGGGUUUUAUUUGCACACAAUGGAAAUGAUUUGUUUUCUCUAAAAAAGGAGUGAGUAUGGCAGAUAUUUGAGGAAGGAGGUGGGAGGAGGAGAAGGAAGGGGAGAGAGCUGAGGAAAAAAGUUUGAAAAUGCCUUGAACUAUUCACUGUCGAGAUGGCUAAUCAGUAUUGAGGCCGGAGGGCAGGCGGGCCGCCUUUCACCGCCGCUUUCCUUUCAUCUCGGGCUCGGCGGAGGCGCUCAAUUAAAAGCCUAUCAGUUUGUAAGUAAAUCAACGCCUAUCAGAGUUGUCACAUCAAACAAAACGAUUAUUAUUGCAGCCCGCCUCCCCUAUUAAUCUCCCUCGAAGAUAAUCCGCCUGACAGGUCAGGCCCGGCGAGCUGGAAAGCCUGGCCCAGAGCACCCAAACAGUCCCGGACUGGCGCGCACCCCCAGGGACCUCCCCACCCUCGUCCGGUUCCGCCUUGCAGUCCCCGGGGAGGGACGAGAGAAAGAGCGCUCGAAGGCCCAGGGACAGGACCCGCCUUACUCCACGAGGAGCGGGGCCCGGAUUCUCCGGGCCGUAGGGGACCAUCCCGCGCAGCCCCGGCCUUUUCUCGGGGUCUGGGAGGCUCCAAAGAAUCGACGGAUUUCUCUGGCAGUCGUUUGCACUGAAUUUAUCCGAAUAAAGCCCACUCUCAGGCAUCCAGCAGAACCAGCUCUCCACUGGCAAGUACUUGCUGUAGCAGCCAUCUUGUCACCAGGAGGAAAAGUGCAAGAAAACAGCAGAGACUUAAUUCUGAUGUCACUGGGACAUGGACCUACCAUCAUACCAGGGAUUGAACUCGGGACCUUGCACUCACCAGGCAGGUGCGGCACCACUGAGGGCCUGCUUCAGCCUCUAGAAGCUAAAAGGACUAUAUCCUCCUUCUUCCUGGCCUGGCAGUUGAAGUUCCACCAAGCGGACACCCCAUCCGGACCUCUGACUCUCAAGGGACAGAGUCCUGCCCAGGGUGGACUUGAACUCCUGCUUCAGUCUCCUGAGUGCUGGGAUUACAGGUGUGCAUUACCGUACCUCGAAACAGCUGCCUUUUAAGGCCUUAAGCCACCCAGGCUUUGGAACAGAGGAGCAGAUCAAAGCCAGGUGCAGCUGCGCUGGGACACUCUCCUUUUUGGCUGGGGUGACACUUUGCCCUUGGAAGCACUGGUGUUCAUGUUCACCAUUCAAGGAUACGCAAAGUGACAGCAUGAAGACAGGCACAGCUUUGUGUUUGCUGUUCCCUCUACCUGGUAAACCCUUCUCCCAAGUUGGCCCAUAGCUGCUCUAUCUCAGGAAUCAGACUCUACCUCAAUGUCCCUCUGCUACCUACCAGUACACUCCACGGCUGCCUGAGAUUGUGCAGUUUGGGCAUCACAGAAGCACCAUCCAGGGGAGGUGGGUGAGGCCAAAGUCCCCUCCAUCUCUGCCCCUCAAGGUUUUACCAGAGAGGGGCCAGCAGACACCUUGGUCACUGUGUCUAAGUCACCACUCUCCACCUUCCAACACUCUCUCCCAUUGUUCACUUUUGCCUCCACAGCAUGAAUCAGCACUCUCUGAAACUGUGCCUUUCACACAUUGGAAAUAUAUUGUUAACCUACUUGUUACCUGUGUCCUCCUACCGUAAUGUAAAUCUCCCAGGAGUGAAGUCUGCCUUGUUCCUGUUUGUUCCUCUAGUGCCUGAGAUGUAGUAGAUGGUAAAUAAAUACUCAGUAAGCAGUGUUUUGUCUUUCUUUAUUUUGAGGUG
rnacentral:lncRNA from 1 species